rnacentral:lncRNA from 1 species
UAGAUUUGUUAUUACAUAAUUUGAGAUAUGUAUAAUAAUUUAGCAAAAAAGUAUAAUACUCUCUCUCUUUCAUUAUAAGUGUCGUUUUAGGUUUCGGCACACGAAUUAAGGAAACAAUUAAUUUUGUACAUUUCUUAUAAAAAAUCACUAUUACCUAUACAUCUAACCAUAUUUCAACCAAUAGAAAAACAAAUUUUGCAUAAAAUUAAUAAAUUUUGUACUGAAAAUCGAAAACAACACUUAUUUUGUAACGAAAAAAAUUCUCUAAAGUGACGCUUAACAUGCAACAGAGGGAGAGGGAGUAGUUAACCGUACAUUGUCGUCUUAACGAAGCUUGUGAUUUGAUAUAUAGUAUUCAUUUAAUUUGAUAAUUUUUAUAAUCCUGUGAUACAUGUAUUUAUAUAUACAUCAAAAUAUAUGUAGUGUUGGUCUAAUUAAUUCAUGUAACUGUGUUAAUGAAACGUGUGAUUUCAAAUAUAGUAAC